rnacentral:rRNA from 1 species
UACGGAGGGUGCGAGCGUUGUCCGGAAUCACUGGGCGUAAAGGGCGCGUAGGCGGCCUGAUAAGUAGGGGGUGAAAUCCUGAGGCUUAACCUCAGGGCUGCCUUCUAAACUGUCAGGCUCGAGCACAGUAGAGGCAGGUGGAAUUCCCGGUGUAGCGGUGGAAUGCGUAGAGAUCCGGAGGAAGACCGGUGGCGAAGGCGGUCUGCUGGGCAGUUUCUGACACUGAGGCGCGACAGCGUGGGGAGCAAACAGG